rnacentral:tRNA from 1 species
GCCGAUGUAGCUCAGUGGCAGAGCAACUGCAUGGUAAGCAGUAGGUCGCCGGUUCAAAUCCGGCCAUCGGCU